GUAUCUCAUAAGGUGCAUAUGGUGCCUUAGCAUGCCCCCAUUUUUUCACCAAUAUAUGCCAAAGUAUGUGGGGAAAAAAAAUUUUGUGCAUUUUUUACAUACGGAUUGCAUUUUUGCUGGGCAUUUUGUAUAUUUCAUAUGUGCCACUAAGUUCAAACCUCCCAAACUAUGCUCAGCUAAGUCUUCUGAGUAAAAAGACACCCCCAAUGAAUGUCUUUGGCAC